rnacentral:rRNA from 1 species
CCUACGGGAGGCAGCAGUGAGGAAUAUUGGUCAAUGGGCGCGAGCCUGAACCAGCCAAGUCGCGUGAGGGAAGACGGUCCUAUGGAUUGUAAACCUCUUUUGUCGGGGAGCAAAAGACGCCACGUGUGGCGUUCCGAGAGUACCCGAAGAAAAAGCAUCGGCUAACUCCGUGCCAGCAGCCGCGGUAAUACGGAGGAUGCGAGCGUUAUCCGGAUUUAUUGGGUUUAAAGGGUGCGCAGGCGGAAGAUCAAGUCAGCGGUAAAAUUGAGAGGCUCAACCUCUUCGAGCCGUUGAAACUGGUUGUCUUGAGUGAGCGAGAGGUAUGCGGAAUGCGUGGUGUAGCGGUGAAAUGCAUAGAUAUCACGAAGAACUCCGAUGGCGAAGGCAGCAUACCGGCGCUCAACUGACGCUCAUGCACGAAAGUGUGGGUAUCGAACAGGAUUAGAUACCCCAGUAGUC